CCUGAACCACACAGCACGAAGGAGAGAAGGAACUUUACUGUGGUGAACUGCUGACUGACAGGACUGGGGGUGAGGAUGCUCCUAGCAUGGAGAAGCUGAAGGGUUAUUUUUCAACCAGAGUGGAAGCUGAACCAUGGAACAGGGUGUACUUUGCUCUUGAAAUUGGUGUACUAUUCCAUUCAGAAUGUAGCUCUUUAACGUAAGAAACCCACACAGUGACUGGUGCCCUUUCCCCAAAGAUCACAGGCUUUAAAAGCAACAAGAAUGGUCUUCAGUCAAGCAGUCAUGCACGUCAAGGUAGCUCAUGUGGACAAGCAGUUUAGCAAAGACAGUUAUGGAAGAAAGGAGAUGGUGAUGAUCUGAAGAGUCAGACUCCUGAAAGCCAGCAGCAACAACCUCAGAGACAC
ensembl:lncRNA